rnacentral:tRNA from 1 species
CGGCGGGCGGGCGCCCGGCCGAGCGCGGCCGGUGCGCGCUCGGCACGGUCAAGGCGAACAUCGGGCACGCCGGAUCGGCCGCCGGCAUCGCCGG